CCCUUUUUCCGCAAGUCUCAUCAGGACUAUAAAUACGCGACUUCGUAGUUGAAAAUUUUGCUUUUAGGGUUUAGCUGUUCUACAAGGCAUACCGCGUAAGCCAUUUCAUUUCCACCAUGCGGAUACUUUUUGUUAUGUGCAGCAUCUACCUGAUAGGUGCUGUGGUCAGUGAAACACCUACUCGUGACUCAAAAUCUACAAAACGCUCUCCUUCUUCAAAAAAAGGCUUCAUGUCAAUGGUGUCGGGAGUGUCGGGUGGACUAAGAUCUCUUUCAAAAAGUAAUAGAUGGUUCAGCUUUAAUUCGCUCAAGGAAAAUCCUUCGAGAGUCGUUCGAAAAGCACUUAGAGGUGACCAUUUGGAUAGAAGUCCAAGUCAAAUGAGUUUUUCCUCAGAUAUCGCCCAGGAAUCUCCCAGUCGUGCUGAAACACAGCGUCAGAUAUUGCGCACCGCCUACUCUGAAUUUACCAAAGAAUGCAACGAGAAAUGCUCAUUAGAAUGGGGUUACCAUUAUCAAUCUGACCAUGGAUCAUACACAAGUCUGGUGUUUACGGAAGGGACAGUAAUUCCCAUUACGAAAGGAACAACAGUCAAAACAUCCAAGGUUAAAUCAGGUUUGACCAGUCUGCUCCAAUCUGCUGGAGAGGUGAUGCGUUUAAAGAAACCUGAAUACACGUGUUUCUGCAUGACAACGAAGUCAUUCCAAGCCGUCCUCCAAACCACGUUAAAGAAAUAUACUUCUCCUAAUGAAUUUGAAAAAUUGAGGAAAGAACUGAAAAAUGAUCCUAAGGGGGCGAGCAAAGUCCUGGACGAGAUAUACCCUGAAGGUAAGAAAGGAAAAAAUUUCCAACACGUUGAUCAUGAAACUCUGGUCAAAGUAAUCGUAGAUGAGAUGUCAGCUCAUAUUGAGGAUUCUGAAUUCCACGACUCGGACUUCGAGGAGCGUAUCGCUAAAUUGGGCUGGUGUGACGCGGACAUCAAUCAUGGCUUAAAGCGUUCCUCUUCAAGAACUCCACCUUCUUCCCCGACCCGCCCUCAUUAAACCAUAAAAGCUCCUCCACCGAUGCCUUUUCAGCAGAAACUUAAAGAAGAGUUAACUAAAUGUAAAAUUCUUAUUACCAUAUAUAUUUAUAAAAAGAAAAAGAAAUGAAAUAAUUUGCGCAUUAAAUAUCACAGUACCCCAUGCAAAGUAGAAAUCUACCUUACUCACCUUCAAAAAAAAAAAAUCGAGUUAUUAGGAUUUCAUAUAUAGCAUAUAUACGUGGAAGCCAGAAUGUUCCUUACCAAUUUUAUUUUGACUGGUUUUCCUCGUGUUUUAAAAUGUAUUACAGGAAACUAAAACUGAUACACCUUGGAACUUAAUGCACUCACAAAAUUUAAUGCCAGAAUGUUGCUUUCUUCUGUGUCAAUAACCGUAAUUAGUAGAGGAAAUUCGACAACGUCUGAUGCAUUUAGGAUGAUUCGUUUUAUCCUCCCGAUUGGACUUAUUUAUGUUGAGCAUAAUACGUCCAAUCGCCCCUAAUGUUCGAGAGUUAUUCUCCAAUAACGACUCCACAAGAGUAUUGCUGAAAACAUCGGUAGCCAUAUCCAGCAUCGUCUCUAAGAUAUGGCGUUCCAUUACGAUUGUUUCCCACCAAUAACAGAAAUAAGAAAUAUAUCCUACGUGUUAAACAUUACCUAUUGAUAACCCAGAGUAAAAAUAUACCUAACUCACAUUUGCUCUUGUAGAAGAUCGAGUUAUGGUCUACUAAAGUAUGGCAUGUUUCUAACAAAACCAUUCAGUGGUUUUCUCAUCUUAAUAUGUGAUGUAGACGUCUCCGCAAUUGCAUUUAUCCACCUAGAAUUAUGACUCCAGGUAAUUUAGUUCUCUUAGAGAUCGUUUUAAAAUGUAAGUAUUAUAGUCCUUAGAGUUUUACUAAUUUUUUUAGAAUGGUCUAAUCCACAGUUUUCAUUUUUAUAUCGUAAAUAAAUUAAUUUUGCAUUCGUUUACAACUUGUUUACAUCACUUUCUUCCUGGAUGAUUCUGCAGUAUCUAUUUCCCUUCUUCUUUCCUCUCUUGGAUUUGCUAUUUGGAACACACCGCUUUAAACUAAACUUUUGCGAGAAAUACAGUUUUGUAGAUUUUCCUGCUCAAAAUCCACUCUUGAGCUUGACAGACAGUUUUUAACGUUAAUUUCAUGUAUCCAGGUCACUUUUGUAACUUCAUCGAGGGCUCCUUCUGCCAUGAGUCACACUCAGGACAUGUUUAGCAUUGCUAUGCAAAUGGGCCAAUUCCGUGAGAUGGCAUGAACCUUGAGCAUCCAUCGUGCCUUACGAUAUGGCUGCCUUGCUCGUGCCAAUCUUUGCACGGAAAGUUCAACAACUUACAGGGAUAGAUUCUCACACAAGCAAAUCUUUUAAGCGCGGUGUGCAUACGCCGUGCUUAUUGGCCAGGUUGCGUAAACCCGCGGCUGAUGCAUGUAGCAUCACCCAUUGAAUCGUGGGUAAUUUUAAAGCCGUUCCUGUGGCGGGAAGGUAGUUGAAAUUAUGAAUCAUCAUAGCAAAUUAAUCAGAUCAUUUAAGCUGUUGGAUCACUUGAUUUAAUCAAUCCCGUAUCGAACUGAGUAGACUUUUCAUUACAUGAUUAGUUGAAAUCUGUGAAUCACUUCGCAAUUCCCUCUUUUGUUCAGACCAAACUGCUGUUUAAAAUUUUUCCAUAAAAUUACACGUGCAAGUAUGAAGAAACCGUCGUCUUCGGUUCGAUUACUUCUAAUUGGUCAAUACCUUGAUUUGAGCGUUUCUGAUUGGUCCAUCGUUUGCGGAAUGUUACUGUGCAUUUAUGAUGACUUGCUCCACGACAGCUUAUUCAAUCCCCUAUCAAUACUGUAGUCAAAUUUAAGUUGUAUAAUUUACUUCCUUGUAUAAAACUUAUUUUUAAAUAAUGCUCAAUUGAAGGUGGCGUAAAUCGAGUGUUUACAUCAUGUACCUAAUUUUAAUUGAAGCCAAGGUGUCAAUAAUCAUUUAAAACCCCUUAAUCGAAUAAUUUCGUGUUAGUGGCAGUUUUUGAUUAAAAAAUGUUCCUCUUGAGAAGCCGCCAUUAUCCCACCUCAAAUUUUAAAAAUGAAAAUAAAGAAAUAAUAACCAUCGCACAAGGUGGAAAAUUGCUCUGGAGAACUCGUUUCUGACAAAGGAGCCAAAAUCAGAACUCGAUUGAUUGAUUUAAUUCAUGAAUACGCAAAUAUUAGAUCAGCUCAAAUUCCGCGAAAGCGAAUGCAUGCUGAGAUGAACCUCGAGACACAUCAAAGCAUAGGCAAACAAUGUCUCACAGAGGAAGGCACUUACUCCGUCCUGUCACUCAAGGACAUCUUUUGUGAAGCCCCGCUCAGCGUCCGAGAUCACCUCCUAAUUUGCCACGAGUACCGAGAUGGCUCAGUUGUCUACGGCAUCACACUGGGUCAAAUGGAGCAUUCCCAGUCGUUCGAGUGGGGGUUCGAUUCUCGUAGGGGACAGUUAAUUUUUACUGGUUGUAUUGAAUGUUUCAGACCAAUCGUCAAACAAUAAUUAAUACUAGAUGAUAAAUGUACGAACAUUUUCUCGUGAGUUAAUAUGUUAGACAAAAAUACUGGAAUAUACCUCCUUCAUAUAAUUAGCCACGUGUUCACUCAAAUUAAUGACGUUAUUUUCUUUGUAUAUCCCCUAUCAAUACUGUAGUCAAAUUUAAGUUGUAUAAUUUACUUCCUUGUAUAAAACUCAUUUUUAAAUAAUGCUCAAUUGAAGGUGGCGUAAAUCGAGUGUUUACAUCAUAUACCUAAUUUUAAUUGAAGUCAAGGUGUCAUUAAUCAUUUAAAACCCCUUAAUCGAAUAAUUUCAGAUAAAGAACCACAUUGAUUAUGA
rnacentral:lncRNA from 1 species